rnacentral:rRNA from 1 species
GACGAACGCUGGCGGCGUGCUUAACACAUGCAAGUCGAACGAAGUGGCGAACGGGUGAGUAACGCGUAAUCAACCUGCCCUUCAGAGGGGGACAACAGUUGGAAACGACUGCUAAUACCGCAUACUGAAGGAGGGGAUUGCGUCGGAUUAGCUAGUUGGAGGGGUAACGGCACACCAAGGCGAUGAUCAGUAGCCGGGCUUGGAGGGUGAUCGGCCACAUUUGGACUGGGACACGGCCCAGACUCCUACGGGAUGCAGCAGUGGGGAAUCUUCCGCAAUGGGCGAAAGGCUGACGGAGAAACGCCGCGUGAGUGGUGACGGCCUUCGGGUUGUAAAGCUCUGUUAAUCGGGACGCGGUACCUGAAUAGAAAGCCACGGCUAACUACGUGCCAGCAGCCGCGGUAAUUC